rnacentral:lncRNA from 1 species
CAUUCCAGCUUUUUGUGUCUCUAUAAACCUUUCAACCCUUUGUGCUUUUUCUCUUUCCAGUGCCAUGAUGGUAACCAGCUGUUGUUCUUUCCAGUGCUUAGUAGGGUACCAAUUUCCUCUGGGAUUUCCAGUAACUACUGUUAUACAAAUGAUAGCAACACUGCUUUUUGAAUAUGUUCCACAUGUGUAGAAACAGCCCUAUCCAGUGCUUUUGUGCUGCUGCUCCAGUAUCAGCUGAGCAAAGUCUAAGUGUAGAGGAUAAAAAGAAGAUUAAAAAAAAAAAAAAAAAAAAGCUCAACAGGAAACAAGCAGUGUGCAUGCAAUUUAACAUGACUGUCACAUUAUGCUGUCUAAGAACUAAGAGCCUGAAUUCAAUUCAGGAGUUGGCAGUGAAUGGAUGCAAAAAUAAAAUCAUAAAAGUGAUGGUAGUUGAGAACAACUUCUACAAAUUGCUGAUAUCUUGUCAACCUGUCAGGACUUGUCUAUAUGGAAAAUUAGUUCUCAGGAAAUCAAGGAUAUUGACUGGAAAACUUAUGUCACGUAAUGUAUUAAUCAAGGAGCUCCAUAAACAAAACUGAGGAUGAUUGAAGGAUGAACUGUUGGUGAGAAUUUAAAACCACUGAUUCACAAAGGCCACUGUUUCUUGAUUGCUUCAAGCUUGCAAAUUCCUCAGCUCCGAAGAUCUACUGUAAAGUCAACAAAAAGACAAAGUGAAUUGGACACAAGGCAGUUCUAGCAUAAGACCUCAGAAGCAAGAUUUUCUCCCAGGUAUGGAUAACAGCAAUGUUUCUUGGUGAUUGGAUCAGGAUGUGGC